UGUGUCCCAUGAUUCUGGAAGGCGGAAAGGGUGAAAUAGAAACUGAAAAGGGCAAUAAGUGAAAGUUGAAGGACUUAACUGCAAAAGUGAAUUUAUAGCAAAUCUACUGAAAUUGAAGGCAUGUAACCCUUAUCCCAAAUUUCUUGUUGAGAAAACCGCUAACACAAACUUCAAAUUCCCAAACAUGUCCUCAUCCUGUCCUAAAAGCUAAACCCCAGCAAACUAAAACGGCAAAACCCCCCGAAAAUUUAUUCGAUGUCACUCUCACGAUGCUGCUUCAUUUUCUCGGCGCCCAAACAGAUUAAAUUUCUCUCUUGUUAGAAAUUAUAAUAAUUUUCCUUGCAGAUUUUGUAGGCCGAAUAUUACGUUUAACUGAAAAUGUCAUCUUUAUCAGUAAAUUUUUUGUAUCAAGAUAGACGCGUACCUGCUGGGAAACCAGGCUACAAUCACUUACAGACACCAUUUGUAGGUUCUUUGCCGGCUGGAAUAUUACAAGUUAGAGUUGGCUUGAAUAAACUGUUGAAGAGGGCUAAUUUAUUUCCUUGUAUUAAGUGUGAGAAGAAAGAGGAACCUGUUGAACAUGUGUAUGUUGAGCGUCCUCCUUAUUAUAUCUAUUUGGACUCGACAUCUGGGGAGCUUGAACCAGCAUCUGGUGCUCGUGCAAGUAUUCCAGGAGAGGAGUACUGGCCUGAAGGCACUGCUAGUCAAGUUAGGGCUGCCAGGGCUCCUGAACCAACUGGAACUUCGACGGGAUCUCCGUCUUAUGGAAAAAGUCCAGGGAGUAGGAGGAAGAAGUAUAAAACAUCAGCUGCUUCUGAAUCUUCUCAAGUGAGCAUUGAACCAAGUGAUCACAUGGAACCUAAAAUUGGUGAGGACAUAGUGGAGGAUCCUAAAGAUUCCUCAUCAGAGUAUGUUAUUUACCAGACAGAACCUGAAGAAGAUGAGGAUUCUGGAUAUGAAUUAGACAAGAAACUUGGACGUCCUCAUCCAUUUAUUGAUCCAAUAGUGAAGAAGCCAAUGGAGGAACCGCUUACCAGUGAAGAACUGUGGUGGAAUUGGAGAAAGCCAGAAAAAGAAAUAUGGUCUAGAUGGCAAAGGAGACGACCUGAUGUUGAAACAGUUUUUCUCAAAGCAAUGGCUAAGACUGGGCAAGUAAAGAUUUAUGGUGAACAUCCAACAUUAACUGAAACUGCCCUUUAUAGAGCUAGGCGACAUCUUUUCAAGGAAGAAAGGCUUAAAGCUGAACAAGAAAGACUAGAGAGAAUUGGUCCAAUGGCAUACUACUCAGAAUGGGUGAAAGCAUGGAAGAGAGACACUUCACGUGAAACUAUUCAGAAACAUUUUGAAGAGACUGGUGAAGAUGAAAAUACUCAAUUGAUUGAAAUGUUUUGUCAUCAAACAGAUCGAGAAUAUAGGAUUAUGAUGGGGACUGAUGUCCGUAUCAAGAGGGAUCCUCUAGCAAUGCGAAUGACAGAGAAUGAAAUAAAGCAAAUAUGGGGUGGAGAUCCAGUUUACCCAACUGUGAACUAUAUUCAAGAUCCAGAUGAAGUGAUUGAUUAUAGGGGACCAGAUUUUCAUGAACCAACACCAAAUAUGCUGGACUAUCUGAAGGAGCAUGGCAAACUCAUAACAAGGGAGGAGCUUGAGAAAAUUUUGGCAAAAGAGAAGAAGACUGAAGAACUCGAGAUGACAGAUAUAGAUGAUGCUAUGGCCCAAGCUGUUGAUAUUGGUGAAAAUGAAGAUGAUGAAGAGGAAGACAGUAAUGUUGAUGGUGAAGAAGAAGAGGAGAAAAUCACACGCAAUUGGAGUGUUCUGAAAAGUACUCCUCAGCUUCGAAAGUCAAAGGCUAAGCCAAAAAAGGAGGACCCAAUGUCCUUGGAAGAGGCUAUCGACGAUUCAGAGAACUUGACUGAUUUUCUCAUGGACUUUGAAGAAGAUGAGUGAGGGCUAUCUACCAUCGAAAAUUUCUCUGAGUAGCAUACAAUAUGAUUUCUAGGGAGUGAAAUUGAAAGUUAGUAAGUGAAUGCUACAUAACUGAGAGAAAAGUGUAUGGGGAGAUGGAGUUGGCGUGUGUAGGUAUGGAUAGGUGAGAGAGUGAAGAUGGUGAAACGUCUAAGGUUUUCCAUGUCAAAUGCACUCUGAUUGAUUCAUAACUCCGCUACUUGAGGACGUUUGAAAAUUUAACGACAGUUGAAGAGGUUCUUCUGCAAUUACAGAUUGUUAGUAAGACUGUUUCGUGUGUCAUCUUAGGGGCCUGUAUUCAAAGUCAGAACCACUUGCAAGCAAUCAUCAAUGAGUGCAAGAAAAAAGACUGUAAAAUGGAGUAAUGGGUUUAUCAGGAAAUCGAUGGAUAUUACACUUGAACUUGAAUACGAGCAUUUUCUGUAAUCUUUUCAUUUACAAGGCUUGAAGAGAAUCCAAAAAGGACCCAGACCUAGAAUAUUCGGUGAUCAAGUAUUUUCUUCUUCCAUUAUCCUUCUUGAGCUAUGGUAUUUUCACACUUACAAAAGUUUUUGCUACUUCAUUCAAUUGAAAAAACAGAGUCCCAUCAGCUUCAGCCCUGUUCACCCCAAAGUUUAAAAAGAAAACGGCCAAAAAUGUUGAGUCUUCGAGCAUUGAUCUGGUCAAAAGCUUGCCUUCCUAUAACCUGAUUAAAAUUGCAAGUUGCUGGAAAAAAGUGCAGCAAGUGAGGUAGCCCAUACAUGGUUUCCUUCACACAAAUUUGUGGUUUAGGUUAUAAACCCAUUCAUCCCAUUUCCUAACCCAUUUAUGUUUGAAUUUGCAGCCUUUGGUGCAAGUUGGAAGAUAUGCUAUGACUCAAGUUAAAAGCAAAUUAUUUGUUAUUAUAUACUUUUUUGCAAAAACUUGUGUAGGUUUAUAAUCAUCUUUUAAACAAUAUUCAAAACAAUAUAUAUUUUUUUUAUCAAUUCUGAAUUGCAAACUUUUUAUUAAAAAAAUCUAAUCCCAUGUAAAGAGAAAGAUCAUUAGGGCUAGAGCCCCAUUUCAGAAUUAAAAUCAUAAUUUAUCUUAUGUAAGCAGGAUAUUCCCACUCGUCUCCACAUUUCAAAGUUGGGAGUGU